rnacentral:rRNA from 1 species
UACGGAGGGGGCUAGCGUUGUUCGGAAUUACUGGGCGUAAAGCGCACGUAGGCGGCUUUGUAAGUUAGAGGUGAAAGCCCGGGGCUCAACUCCGGAAUUGCCUUUAAGACUGCAUCGCUAGAAUUGUGGAGAGGUAAGUGGAAUUCCGAGUGUAGAGGUGAAAUUCGUAGAUAUUCGGAAGAACACCAGUGGCGAAGGCGGCAUCCUGGACCGGCAUUGACGCUGAGGAGCGAAAGCUAGGGGAGCAAACGGG